ACCUUUUAGGAGCCCGCGCCUCGGUUCCAGCGGACGCUUCCCCAGAUCUCGGCUCUACCACCAUCCACUGCCGUCUUACCGCCCACCAUGGCCCUCCUGCACUCCAGCCGCAUCCUCUCCGGGAUGGCUGCUGCCUUUCACCCAGGCCUAGCUGCUGCAGCCUCUGCCAGAGCCAGGUGAGCCGAGGGAUACAGAGAUGCAGCGGCACCGCGGGCCUGCCCCUGCCCAGCCGAACUGUGGACCCUGUGAAACCUGCACCCCACCCCGCGAUCGGACACACGUGCGCACCUCGUGUGUCCCCAAGGGUUGACUGUCCCGAGUCUUAGAGUCCAGUGUCUGCGCCCCGGGGUGACCCCAGGACCCCUCAUCCCUCCCCUGUAUCUCCGGACAGAGGGCCAGCGUAGCCCCCGAGGUGGGAAUUGUGGUUCUCGACUGCACCCAGAAUCCCAUUCUAGCGGGUGAUGGGGGGUCCCAGAUGUGGACUCAGCACAGUGGGGUGCGGGGCAAGGGGUGAGCACGUGGGCGGUGGCGCUGGGCCAUCCUCUAGCCGAUUGGCUAUGGUGCCGGAGCUGCCUGUCGCUGAUUGGCUGUGGUGCAGGGGGGCGCGCAUGUCCUUGACCAGCUGCCCUGCGGGACAACAGGUCCAGCUGUCGGGGUCCAGAGGGUUAAAUCUGCCAGUGCUGUGUAGAAGCAGCGUGCGUGACGGGGGGAAAUGUGACCACAUGCAAGGAGGUUCUGGGGGCGUCCAGAUCCGGUGUGCAUCCAUGACCUUGGCGUAGUGCAUCCUUCAGUGUCACCACAGUAGUGCCUGAUGAUCCCCUAUCCCCUGACAGACCAGCCUGGCCUUUGGAUGGAAAAGGGUUGAAGUGUAAUGUACUUUCUUUGUUUUAAACCCUUGGGAGAUUCUGUUGACUGGAAGCCAUCAAUCUUUCCCUGCAUUUCAGUCGGCUCUUUGCUCCUUAAAAUAUUUCGUAACCCAGUUUCUCCGAGCCAGGCACUGGACCAGUUGCUGGUGAUGCAGCUGUGAGCAAGACAAGAGGACUGACUUCCUUUUUUAAAAAAAGACAAAUGAGUCAUCUUAAACUAAGGUGUACUGAAAGUGCCAGGCCUAAACGGGAACUAGUAACUCCUGAUUCUUCCUUGGGCCUCAGAAGAGCAGAUUUGAGACAGUCUCCUGGAGUACGGCAGACACCUCCCCGGGGCACAUACUAACUGGGAGCGAAGCCUACGUAACUUUUUAUGCUUGCCUUCUUCCCUUUGAAUGUGUUCAAGCAUCUUCAAGGUAGUAGAACAGUCUGUCCUUCCCAGAGCCCGUUUUUUUGGCUCCAUGCCAAUGGGUGCCCUUUUACGCCUACCCACCUGAAGGGGAGGAGAAACGGGGGAGAGUUAUUUAUGCUGCAAUUUGGAGAACAAAAAUGAGGUACUUGUAUGGGUAGGAGGAAAAUCAGUUUUCCCGUUAUUUUAACCUUGAAAUAUCCCUGUUUGUAAUGUAUAUCUAUAUACCCGAAAUACCUGACCUUCACUUAAACUGCUUGGCCCGGUUUCCCCUUGGAUGUGACUGCUUAGUGAUUUCAGUCUGAGAGCCUGACUGCUGUUUCUUUUCUGUCAUUUCCCAGUUAGAAUUUAAGGUAAGGGAUAGCAGAGACCUUGGCAACUUAGUUCUGAGUUGUAUCUAAACGCUUGCUUGCUUCUGUGUCGGGGUUACGUAGCCCUGGCUAGUCUGAAACUUACUAUGUACACCAGGCCUGCCUGGGACACAGCUGCAGUCAUUUUACCUGUAGCUUUCUAAUGUUACUACAGCUUCCUUCUCCCUUCCCCCAGGGAUAGAACCCAGGGCCUCAGUGCAUACCAGGCAAGCACUGUGCCAGAGAUACAGGCCUGGCCCGUGAAAUGCCUUUCACUUUGUAUAUUUUUAUUUCAAGCCCUCAUUUUAUAAACAAAUACAGCAUUUUUUUUUUUCAUUUUUAGAUCAAAAUCUACACAUGGUCCUGGAAACCAAAAAUUUAGGGGCAUGAGACAGGGGAAUUGCUUUGAGUUAAAGUCCAUUCUCCUAAGCU
rnacentral:lncRNA from 1 species